CGCGUGCGUGGAGACACGAAGGGACGACUCACAUACAGGGCAAGACAGUGCGGGGUAGUGGGGAAUUUCAUAGAGCUACUCAGAACAGCGCAAAAUGUAAAACUUAAGAAUUGUUUCUUUCUGGAAUUUUCCACGUAAUAUCUUCAGACCGUGGUUGACUAUGGUAACUGAAACCUCAGCGAAACACAGGUCUUUUUGGCACAAUUCUUGGACCAGGAACUGGCUUUGCCUCUCUUAGUCUCUCCCAGCCUGAACAUGCCCUCUGGGUCAAGCCACGCAGUUCAGCUCUUCUCUCAACCUUUUUUCCCAGCCCAGCAGUCUCCCUGGCUCUGGUUUUCCCAGGCCUCAUCAGGUACAUUGUGGCACCAAUAACUCCCAUGUUUGUCUGCAAUUGCUCCAGGCAGAUGUCUGAAAAUCACCCACUGACAGAUUUAUGUUCGUCAACCUCUGAGACUCCCUCCAUCCCCACCCACAAACAGUAUCAGAGCUGUGGAUGAAAGCCCUUGGAGGCAAGAGCACCGAGUCCUCUCAAGCACACACAGAGCUGAGACACAGCAUUGCAAUGGCAUCCUGCCUGCCCGCCUGCCCUCCACCACAUUCCCCUAUAAACCCCCAGACUCCUCGGCAACGCACGUUUUCCUGGCCUGCUUUCUUCCCAAGAUCUGGAAAGACUUGGGUCUCCAGGCUUUUGAAACAAGAUUAAAAGGUCUCUUUUAUAGCAACUUGCGGAAAAAACUCCUCAGAGGAAACGUGGUUGGCAGGUAGAAAAACCGGGACCUGUCUCCCUGAAAAUCACAGCUGUGUUAUCUUUUUUCUCCACUGAUCACUUCCAGAUUAUCAUUCAGGGCAGACAGCCAAUUAGCUAGCCCUCCCUGUCACAGAGCCUGUCUCUGGCAGCUCUCAUUUCUCCACAGAAGGGAGCACUCUGAAGAAGUGUAGCUGGGCCAUGUGCAGAACCCGGGGAGGGAAAACCUGUGAGUGAGCGUGCCCUCGCCACAACAAGUCCGCACAGGAAGGUGAACCAAGAGCCAGCACAGGCAGGAAGUUUGCCGAAGCCUCAGGACCAGGCCAAACACAAAGGCUUCCUUUCUAAGAGGAAAGAGGAUUGAGCUGUGAGGAAAAACAGAAUAAAAGCACUGUCCUGAGUGAAACUCGCAGUGAUAGAACCUGGUGUUGAAGAGCAGAACCCUUGAUUCGGGGUCUCACCUGCUUUUGGCAAGCGAGUUCUCUGCAGAAAAGCGGGAAGCACCUUUCUCAGGCUUCUUGGCACCUGGCCAUCACUCAGAUCUGCCCCAGGGGAGUGUGAACUACAGGCAGCCACCUCUGCUUUGGGCAGCUGGGCCAAACCCUCGCCUUACAAUGACUUCUUUGGAAAGAUGGGUCAGAACAAGAUGUUGGCACGUCCAAAGUCUGUUCAAUGAAGUUCACUAACCUGGCAGCAUAGUAGGGACAGAGGUGUAUAGGGAAAAGAUUUGUGCAGCAUUCCCUGUUUUUGGUGACAGUGCAAACAAGUUGUGUCCCCAGGAAGCCAUUGUUUUGGCAGGAAAUUGAAAUGUACACACAACCAAUUAUAUGGCCCAUACCUACUAUGGGCUGGGACCCAUAAGCACCAAGGACAAAGUCUGUCUUACUGAAUUAAAGGGUUUCAAUCAGCAGCUCCCUAACUCUGUCCUGAGGGUACCAGUGUCCCCCCAGGGUGUUAGUAGUCUUGUCAGUACAUUCCUGUCACUGGAAUAAGCUUAGGAACUACUUCCUUAAACAACGUUGGACAGGUUUCUUCACUAUGGGGCUCUUCACUGACCUUAAUAUGCUAAUGUGCCUAUUAGCAGCAUUUGCCAAGUGUGUUGACCGCAGAGCCCUGUGUUCACAGCUACUUCUUAAGAACUAAUUGGACAUCUAUGUUCCAGGGCACACAGUUGGGAAGAACUGCUACAGGCCCUCAGUAAAAAGAUGAUGGAGACCUGGGACAA